UUAAUUGUUUUUAAUUUGUCAAGCAAAGCAUAUUUCUCAGUAUUUAACCAGCACCUAGGUGAAAAACCAAAGCAGCACAGGGCUAUUCAUGGCACCAGGUUGAGACACUGGUCAUGACUCUGCAACCACGACACCUGCUGGACAAUAAAGAUUAUUACACCUGAAACAAUUUACUGGACCUCAUAACAUAACAAAAGAUGGAACCUACUUCAGGAUUUCAAUAUAGACUGAAGACCAGCAACCUUCUUGGAAUACCCAUAGACUCCAGUACCAGUUUGUGACUGCUGAGAUCGCCAGGGGUAAUUCUAGCAUGCUAGCACACAGCAGGCUGGCUAUAGAUGAUGAGCAUGCACUGCGCAUUUCAAACAGAAAGGAGAAAAUAUUUGGAAAGUUCUCAACAUUAUAAAGUGAGAAAUCCUGGAGAAGAUUCACACAUGGACCUUAACUCGAAUAUUGCAUGACAUGUACAUAUAUUGAAAC